rnacentral:rRNA from 1 species
CCCUUAGAUGUUCUGGGCGGCCCGCGCACUACAUUGGCACUAGCAAAGAGUUCCUAGAUUGAAUUCUUUGGGGUAUUCUUCUAAAUGGUGUCGUGACUGGGAUAAAUCCUUGUAAUUAUUGGUUUUGAACGAGGAAUUCCUUGUAAUCGCGGUUUAUCAGCUCGCGUUGAAUGCGUCCCUGCCCUUUGUACACACCGCCCGUCGCUCCCACCGAUGGAUCGUCCGAUGAAGCUCACGGAGUGACUGUUCACGCAACGGUUUACGAAGUGAAAUGGACCUCACGAUUUAGAGGAAGGAGAAGUCGUAACA